rnacentral:rRNA from 1 species
AUUGAACGCUGGCGGCAGGCCUAACACAUGCAAGUCGAGCGGAGCGGCGGAGGGGUGAGUAAUGGCUAGGAAUCUGCAUGGUAGUGGGGGAGAACGUCAGGAAACGGGCGCUAAUACCGCAUACUAUCAGAUGAGCCUAGGUCGGAUUAGCUAGUUGGUGGGGUAAAGGCAUACCAAGGCGACGAUCCGUAACUUGGCUGAGAGGAUGAUCAGUCACACUGGAACUGAGACACGGUCCAGACUCCUACGGGAGUCAGCAGUGGGGAAUAUUGGACAAUGGGCGAAAGCCUGAUCCAGUCAUGCCGCGUGUGUGAUGAAGGUCUUCGGAUUGUAAAGCACUUUAGGCUGGGAGGCGUUACCAACAGAAUAAGCACCGGCUAACUUCGUGCCAGCAGCCGCGGUAAUAC